AUUGAACGCUGGCGGCAUGCCUUACACAUGCAAGUCGAACGGUAACAGGUCUUCGUUUGCUGACGAGUGGCGAACGGGUGAGUAAUACAUCCGAACGUGCCCGAUCGUUGUGGAUAACGAGGCGAUAGCUUUGCUAAUACCUCAUACGAUCUACGGUUUUAAUCCGGGUGUCUUCGUACUUCGCGCCGACUUUGCGGUCCCUUGCAGAUUAGUUAGUUGGUGGGUUAAAAGCUUACCAAGCCCACGAUGUGUAGCUGGUCUGAGAGGAUGAUCCGCCACACUGGAACUGAGACACGGCCCAGACUCCUACGGGAGGCAGCAGUGGGGAAUUUUGGACAAUGGGCGAAAGCCUGAGGCAGCAAAGCCGCGUGAAGGAUGAAGGACUUUGGGUUGUAAAAUGCUUUUGUAAGGAAAGAAAAGACUCUUUAUAAAAAAGAGGGGUCAUGACGGUACCGAAAGAAUAAGCACCGGCUAACUACGUG
rnacentral:rRNA from 1 species